UCUACGGGAGGCUGCAGUGGGGAAUAUUGGACAAUGGGCGAAAGCCUGAUCCAGCCAUGCCGCGUGUGUGAAGAAGGCCUUCGGGUUGUAAAGCACUUUCAGUGGGGAAGAAAGCCUUGGGGCUAAUACCCUCGAGGAAGGACAUCACCCACAGAAGAAGCACCGGCUAACUCCGUGCCAGCAGCCGCGGUAAUACGGAGGGUGCGAGCGUUAAUCGGAAUUACUGGGCGUAAAGCGCGCGUAGGCGGUCUGAUAAGCCGGUUGUGAAAGCCCCGGGCUCAACCUGGGAACGGCAUCCGGAACUGUCAGGCUAGAGUGCAGGAGAGGAAGGUAGAAUUCCCGGUGUAGCGGUGAGAUGCGUAGAGAUCGGGAGGAAUACCAGUGGCGAAGGCGGCCUUCUGGACUGACACCGACGCUGAGGUGCGAAAGCGUGGGUAGCAAACAGGAUUAGAUACCCUGGUAGUC
rnacentral:rRNA from 1 species